UACAGAGGGUGCGAGCGUUAAUCGGAAUUACUGGGCGUAAAGCGUGCGUAGACGGCUAUCUAAGUCGGGUGUGAAAGCCCCGGGCUCAACCUGGGAAUUGCAUUCGAGACUGAAUAGCUAGGGUACGGUAGAGGGAAGUGGAAUUUCCGGUGUAGCGGUGAAAUGCGUAGAUAUCGGAAGGAACAUCAGUGGCGAAAGCGACUUCCUGGACCAGUACCGACGUCAGGCACGAAAGCGUGGGGAGCAAACAGG
rnacentral:rRNA from 1 species